rnacentral:lncRNA from 1 species
UAUAUAUAUAUUAUAUGACCAAAACUCCAAAAGACUCCAGGUAAUCAUUAUCUUGAAUUGGCCAAAUAUCGACGAUAUAACAUAUAAAGACUCAAAAACAAAACUAUCGAACACUCUAAUGUUUUAGCACAUUCUCAAUCACAUAUAUUAAACAUUGACCCAUUCUAUCAACUAUAUUUUUUUCUCAAGUGAGGCAUAUAUAUAUAUAUUAUAUGACCCUUUAUAACCAAAUAUGUCUCGGGAUACUAAACUUAGCUAGAAACUUUUUUUUUUUAGUUUUACAUAUAUUAAACUAAAUAGUUAAAUGGGUACCCAUUUAUAACCGCGGGUAAUACCUAUAACCGUCCAUUUAAAUUUCACGGGUCAACGGUUAUAUCCAUAACCGUUUAUUUAUCUAAACGGUUACCCAUAAUCGUAACCGUCAAAUUUAAAUGAGCGGAUAAUCACGAUUACCCAUAACCAAUGGGUAUUUGCCCAUCCCUAGUGUCAUGCAUAUGCAUUCAUGUAGAUAGGUCUUACUUAGCUUUUUUUUUUUUUUUUUUUCUUUAAAAAAGGAAGACAACUAGUGGCAAGCCAUGGUUAUCCACCCCUUCCGAGGGAUGGGAAGACUCACAGAGACAUUUCA